rnacentral:rRNA from 1 species
UACAGAGGUCUCAACCGUUGUUCGGAUUCAUUGGGCGUAAAGGGUGCGUAGGCGGUCGCGCAAGUCGGAUGUGAAAUCUCAGGGCUCAACCCUGAAACUGCAUUCGAUACUGCGUGGCUAGAGUGCUGGAGAGGAGACUGGAAUUUACGGUGUAGCAGUGAAAUGCGUAGAUAUCGUAAGGAAGACCAGUGGCGAAGGCGAGUCUCUGGACAGUUCCUGACGCUGAGGCACGAAGGUCAGGGGAGCAAACGGG